rnacentral:rRNA from 1 species
UGCGAGUCGAGAGGGUUCGGCCCUCGGCGAACUGCUCAGUAACACGUGGAUAAUUUGCCCUUAGGUGGAGGAUAACCUCGGGAAACUGAGAAUAAUACUCCAUAGGUCUAGGAUGCUGGAAUGCACUUAGAUCGAAAGUUCCGGCGCCUAAGGAUAAGUCUGCGGACUAUCAGGUUGUAGUCAGGGUAAAGUCCUGACUAGCCUACAACGGAUACGGGUUGUGAGAGCAAUAACCCGGAGACGAUAUCUGAGACACGAUAUCGGGCCCUACGGGGCGCAGCAGGCGCGAAACCUUCACAAUGUGCGAAAGCGCGAUGAGGGGAUCCCAAGUGCUUGCUCGUAAGAGUAAGCUGUUUUUAUGUCUAAAAAGCAUAGAGAGUAAGGGCUGGGUAAGACGGGUGCCAGCCGCCGCGGUAAUACCUGCAGCUCAAGUGGUGACCGCUAUUAUUGGGCCUAAAACGUUCGUAGCCGGUUUGAUAAAUGCCUGGGUAAAUAGUGUAGCUUAACUAUACGAAUUCCGGGUAGACUGUUAAACUUGAGACCGGGAGAGGCUAGAGGUACUCCUGGGGUAGAGGUGAAAUUCUGUAAUCCUGAGGGGACCACCAGUGGCGAAGGCGUCUAGCUAGAACGGGUCUGACGGUGAGGAACGAAGCCCUGGGGCGCGAACCGGAUUAGAUACCCGGGUAGUCCAGGGUGUGAACGCUGCUUGCUUGAUGUUAGUUGGGCUCCGAGCCC